UGAGGAAUAUUGGUCAAUGGGCGGGAGCCUGAACCAGCCAAGUCGCGUGAAGGAAGAAGGAUCUAUGGUUCGUAAACUUCUUUUGCAGGGGAAUAAAGUGCAGGACGUGUCCUGUUUUGUAUGUACCCUGAGAAUAAGGAUCGGCUAACUCCGUGCCAGCAGCCGCGGUAAUACGGAGGAUCCGAGCGUUAUCCGGAUUUAUUGGGUUUAAAGGGUGCGUAGGUGGUUUGAUAAGUCAGCGGUGAAAGUUUGCAGCUUAACUGUAAAAAUGCCGUUGAAACUGUCGGACUUGAGUGUAAAUGAGGUAGGCGGAAUGCGGGGUGUAGCGGUGAAAUGCAUAGAUAUCACGCAGAACUCCGAUUGCGAAGGCAGCUUACUAAGCUACAACUGACACUGAAGCACGAAAGCGUGGGGAUCAAACA
rnacentral:rRNA from 1 species